UACGUAGGGUGCAAGCGUUAAUCGGAAUUACUGGGCGUAAAGCGUGCGCAGGCGGUGAUGUAAGACAGUUGUGAAAUCCCCGGGCUCAACCUGGGAACUGCAUCUGUGACUGCAUCGCUGGAGUGCGGCAGAGGGGGAUGGAAUUCCGCGUGUAGCAGUGAAAUGCGUAGAUAUGCGGCGGAACACCGAUGGCGAAGGCAGCCCCCUGGGCUGAGAUUGACGCUCAGGCACGAAAGCGUGGGGAGCAAACAGG
rnacentral:rRNA from 1 species